UGGGGGAUAUUGCACAAUGGGGGGAACCCGUGAUGCAGCGACGCCGCGUGGGUGAAGAAGCGCCUCGGCGCGUAAAGCCCUGUCAGCAGGGAAGAAAAUGACGGUACCUGAAGAAGAAGCCCCGGCUAACUACGUGCCAGCAGCCGC
rnacentral:rRNA from 1 species